AUGACAGUGCAAUUCUCCUUUGGCAGAGGGAACAUGUAGAUUAGCUCUUCUGGUUUGCCAAAGGAGAAUUGCCCUGCUAUUUCUUACAGCUCAUGUUUUUAUGAUUUAUCAUAUCUGCUAUGCCUGUCUGAUUUCCAUGUUCUGCUAGAAACAUGUUUCAGCUUCUUGUGGUAGUAUAAUAUAAAUGCUUGUAAGUUCCUCACUAGCUCUCCAUUAAGGAGAUGCUGAAGAACAAUAUGAAGGAACAUAUCAGCUAUCUUUGAACAAUAUCCAUGACUGUCUUAGAAAGCAGCCAGAAGAAGAAGAGGCUAUCAUUCACAAUUGUGAUGAACUAAUAAUAAAAAUUGAAGUUUCACUUA